CAGUGGCAACAUCCACAAGGAAUGGUAUAAAUAGAGGACUAUGGGGACAGAGGGAUCACAAUCGGCUCCCGCAGUGAUCUGUGCAGUUUGCCUUGGGCUCCGAGUUGGAUCCUUGCGCUCUCACUAUGAGCUGUGCCAUCAGGCAGGUCGUUACUGCCUGUUCCCAAGGCAGAAGCAGCGCAGGCAGCUCUGCAGCUGGUAGUGGAAGAAAGGUCUCCUCCGCCUCCUCGGGAAGACAUGCUGCCUAUGACUUAGGUGGUGCGGUUGGCAAUUUUUCUGGUGGCAGUUUAAGCGAGGGAUUACUUGGGAAGCAGCUGAGUGCCAGCAGUGCUACUGGUGGGAGCUUUGGAGCUACCCAGAGGGCUUGUUCUACCCUUGGAUUCAGUGGUGGAGGCAUCUGCACUCGAAGCGUUGGUGGUGGUUUCACCAGGGCCAGCGCUGGUUGCGGUGAUGGGAUCUUAUUUGCUAACAACGAAAAGGCAACGAUGCAGAACCUCAAUGACCGCUUGGCCUCCUACCUGGACAAGGUGCGACUCCUGGAGGGAGACAACGCCGACCUUGAGUGCAAGAUCAGGGAGUGGUAUGCCAAGGUAGGGCCCAGCUGCGAACCACGGGACUACAGCUGUUUUCAUAAGGAAAUUGAAGACCUUCAAAACCAGAUCCUGUGUGCAGCCAUGGAGACUAACAAAAUCCUUCUGAAUAUUGAUAACAACAGGAUGACUGCUGAUGACUUCCGAGUGAAGUACGAGACUGAAUGUGGUCUCCGGCAAAAUGUAGAUACAGACAUUUGCAACCUACGCCCUGUCCUGGAUCAGCUGGCCAGCUGCAAGACCGACCUGCAGCUACAGUGUGAGGCUUUGACCGAAGAGAUGUGUUGUCUCAAGACGAACCAUGAGGAGGAAAUGAACUGUCUGAGGAAACAGGCGACCGGAGAUGUGAGUGUGGAGGUCAAUGCCUGUCCUGGCCCAGACCUGAGGAAGAUCCUGGAGGAUCUGAGGUGCCAGUACGAAACGCUGAUGGAGCGCAACCGCAAAGAGACUGAGCAGUGGUAUGCCUGCAAGGUGGAGGAAGUGAACCUGGAGGUCAUCACAAGCAGCCAGGAGAUUGAGUCAAGCAACAAACAGGUCACUGAGCUGAGACGUCAGCUGCAGGCCUUGGAAAUCAAUGUACAAGCCCAGCUCACCAUGAAAGAAAAUCUGGAAUCCUCUUUGGCGGAAACUGAAUGUCGCUACAACAAAUACCUGGCUGAGCUACAGAAUCAGAUCUCCUGCGUGGAGCAGCGGCUGGCUGAAAUACGAGCAGAAAUGGAGUGCCAGAACCAGGAAUACAAGACCCUCCUGGAUGUCAAAUGCCGUUUGGAGCAGGAGAUUCAGACCUACCACUGCCUGCUGGAGGGGGGACAGCACGACAUCAUAGGGCCAGUGGGAAGAGGAGCCCCUGCAACAUCAGCUGGAAGAGGCGGUGGGCUUAAAGCCAGCCUGUGUCAGCCAUGCCUGCCCUAAGCCUGUGAGCUCUGGGUGAGGAUGUGUAAGGUGAGGUGUCCUCUAGAAGCCUGUGAGUGUGACUGUGAGUUGCUUCUUUAGUCCUGCUAUGUACCUGGGGAAGGGGAGGAUGAGAGAUCUCCAGGAUUUUCUUGGUGGUAGAGUACGGGGAUUAAUUGGGCUAUGGUAGAAAGCAGUGGCAAGGGAUGCAGCUAUAGGGCAUUUAUAAACUUAUGCAUAGAAAAUAUGUUUGACACUGGGGGGGUUACUAGUAGUAAAUGUGUUUAUAAGACUUUCAGCACAACAUGAAAAUGAGGAACGGGGAGGGAGAAUCAGUCAGUCACGAGUCUUUCACCAAGUAUAUAAAAUUAAGCAAGCUAGGGAGAAGAGGGAAAAGAAAGGUCAGUACA